rnacentral:misc_RNA from 1 species
AUAAUAUUUAUCGAUGAGAUAGAUGCUGUGGCAAAAAGUCGUGAUGGAAAAUUUCGCAUUGUCAGCAAUGAUGAACGGGAGCAAACUUUGAAUCAAUUGCUCACUGAAAUGGAUGGCUUUGAUAGCAACUCUGCUGUGAUUGUUCUUGGUGCAACAAAUAGAUCAGAUGUCUUAGAUCCUGCACUUCGCCGACCAGGAAGAUUUGAUCGUGUGGUUAUGGUUUGUAUUUCAGCUUCUUCACAUUUUGGAUGGUCAAGAUUGACAGGCAAGCUAGUUCCACUAAAUAGUUGUCUCAGACAUUUAUCUCAUUUGGUCUAUACUCUAUAGGUGGAAACGCCUGAUAGGAAUGGAAGAGAAGCCAUUUUAAAAGUGCAUGCUUCCAAGAAAGAGCUUCCUCUUGGCGAGGAUGUUGACCUUAGUGACAUUGCAUCUAUGACCACUGGUUUUACUGGGGCUGAUCUUGCAAAUCUAGUAAAUGAAGCUGCUUUGUUGGCUGGAAGGGAAAACAAAUUAUUAGUGGAAAAAAUUGAUUUCAUUCAGGCGGUGGAGCGGUCAAUAGCAGGCAUAGAAAAAAAGACUGCCAAGUUACAAGGAAGUGAGAAGGCUGUGGUUGCACGUCAUGAAGCUGGUCAUGCAGUAGUUAGUACUGCCGUUGCUAACCUCCUUCCUGGGGGGCAACCUCGUGUUGAGGUAAAACAUGGAAGCAGUUUUUUUUCCCCUCAAGUUUUUCUUCGUGUUAAUGCCUUGGAAUUAAAUUCAAGAAUACCGAAGCUGCAUCCAUUUAAGAUAUGAUAUGCCAAAUGAGAGGGCUAAUGGGAUGAAAAAUAAAAAAUUUACUGUCUUACUGUCUUAUUGGUUGUAGCAUGCGUAGCAUUUUGUUGAGAUGUUUUGUAUAUACAGAAGUUUAGGUGGUUUAAAUGCUUUAUAUUGGCAUUACACACUUACAGUAUCAAAGUCUAACAAAAAUGUUGGAUUCCAAUAAGUUGACUUUCUUUCUCUAUUUUUUUCACAAAUGUAAAAAGCAAAGGGAUGAUUAGAAUUGGUCUGAUGUUUAAUAAUUAGAGUAUGAAGUACCGAUUCUGAAGUGCUGCAUAGAAUUUGAAGGGCCCUAUAGUUCAGGCAUACCAGACAAGUUAUUUCUUCGGCCGUGUAUGGCUAUCUGCAUAACAUGGAUGGACAAUAAUAAUUACUUUUGUUCAUUCAUCAGAAGUUAAGCAUAUUGCCAAGAUCAGGAGGGGCAUUGGGUUUUACUUAUAUACCGCCAACAAAUGAGGAUAGAUAUUUGCUCUUUAUUGAUGAGUUACGUGGUCGCUUGGUUACUCUUCUUGGAGGACGUGCAGCGGAAGAAGUUCUGUAUUCAGGUCGUGUCUCAACAGGUGCACUGGAUGAUAUACGGCGAGCUACUGACAUGGCAUAUAAGGCUGUAGCAGAAUAUGGUCUUAAUCAGACAAUAGGACCUGUGUCUCUAGCAACACUUUCUGGAGGUGGGAUGGAUGAGUCUGGAGUUGCUCCAUGGGGAAGGGAUCAGGGCCAUCUUGUUGAUCUUGUUCAAAUAGAGGUGAAAGCGUUGUUGCAAUCUGCCCUGGAUGUAGCACUUUCUGUUGUUCGUGCUAAUCCUACUAUCUUGGAAGGGCUUGGCGCCCACCUAGAAGGUAACAUGUUGCUUUUUAGCUGUUUUAAUAUUGUGAUACUCUGUACAUUAUCAAAUUGAUGCAUUUCCCAGUUAUUCAUUAAUUGCUGCUCCCUUCCCAGUAUUUUAUCUGUUUCAUUUUCAUUAACAAGAAUGUUUGUAAAUUGUGGUUGGUGCUUGACUUUUAUGGUGUAUUAUUUUUCCUCGAUAUGUUAAAUAAGCUAGCACGGUUGUAAUUGUCAGACCCUAGAUCUUGUCAAAUAUUUGCCUUUCUGGUGUCCUUAUCUCCAUUCUGGCAUGCAAAUGAAAUUAGAGUGGUUGAUGAAGGAUUUAUAUCCCCAUGGUAAUUUUUUUUUUUUUAUCGAGGAAUUGGCUUAAAUUUAGUUGUCCUUCGGAAAUGUUGCUAUCUGCAAUUUCUAUCUUGUAAUAAUAUACAUUAUUUAUUCAUUUUUUGGUGUAGAAAAAGAGAAAGUAGAAGGUGAGGAGCUGCAAGAGUGGUUAAAAUUGGUGGUUGCUCCAAAAGAGCUUGCAAUCUUUGUUAGAGGCAAGCCCCUUCUUCCGCUGCAGGCUGGCUUGUGAUAGCAAUAUUUGUGCAUUCAGCUCUUCAUUAUUGAGCAAAACACGAAGUUGGCUUAUAGCUCAUCAUAGCGCAACCUUGUGAUUGGCCUGACCUUAGCCUCACAACGUUGUAUAGUUUCACUGAGGUAAAUUUUUGUUCAUUUUGAUAUUAACUACCUAAAAAUAGACGAAGUGGGGGAAAUCUGAAGAUUUUUUUCUUCCAGAGCCUUUUCAAGCUUCUUGCCAUUCUAGUGUUAUCUUUGAUUCCUGCACGUUGGUCUUCGAAAUUGUCCUAUAUUGGCUGUAGAUUCUGUGCAGUUUUUGAAAUUGUACUAUAUUCAGUGAAAUAUAUAAUAUUUCAGAUAUGCAAAGCUUUUUCUGCAAACGUUGUGCAUAUUAUCGCAGGAAUAUCAUAACUUGUAUCAACAUUAUAUAGAUUCUUGCAUGCAAAUGAUUGGUGGUGGUGGCGGUGGUGGGGGCAAUCACUCAGUAUCUACUACAGCAGAUGAUUGAUUACAAGUUGAUGACCAAAAUGAAGAAAAAAGUUACUGGAAAAUUAACGACUGGCGAUUCACCCUUUUAUUUUGAAGAAAAUGCAAUCCCAAUUCUGAGGGAGAGUUUGUUAAAUCAGGAAUUUGUUAAAUAAGCUGUGUAAUGUUCCCUGUAAGGUAAUGAAGUAUGUAGCUUGCAUGCUCAGAUCAGAUUUAGUGGGUAUGAAAGAAAAUAUCAUGAAGGAUGAAAAGUGCUUGAUCAUAUGAUAUUGAUAUUUUUGUUGGGAGACUAAACUAUCAACGUUGCUUUCUGAGCAUGAUAAUUCCUUUACAGCUCUAAAGAAAAAGUAAAAAGAGUACUUGAACCUUUGCGAGGAUCACAUCCAGAGCAGCGCUUGAAGUAGUCUUCUUCUAGCUCUAUCUACAAACGUAUGGAAAUGGAAUCAAGGUUGAAACCGGCAGGCGAUUCUUUUGGUUUUCCUCCUAUGCAAUCAAUUAUCUUCGUUAAUCCCUGUGUAGCAUCUUUGCUUGAUCAAGUAAAAAAGCUUGUGUAAAUUUUGCUGCCAAAUUGAAGUUAAUAAAAACAAAGGGUCUCUGAU